rnacentral:rRNA from 1 species
UGGGGAAUAUUGCACAAUGGGCGCAAGCCUGAUGCAGCCAUGCCGCGUGUAUGAAGAAGGCCUUCGGGUUGUAAAGUACUUUCAGCGGGGAGGAAGGGAGUAAAGUUAAUACCUUUGCUCAUUGACGUUACCCGCAGAAGAAGCACCGGCUAACUCCGUGCCAGCAGCCGCGGUAAUACGGAGGGUGCAAGCGUUAAUCGGAAUUACUGGGCGUAAAGCGCACGCAGGCGGUUUGUUAAGUCAGAUGUGAAAUCCCCGGGCUCAACCUGGGAACUGCAUCUGAUACUGGCAAGCUUGAGUCUCGUAGAGGGGGGUAGAAUUCCAGGUGUAGCGGUGAAAUGCGUAGAGAUCUGGAGGAAUGCCGGUGGCGAAGGCGGCCCCCUGGACGAAGUCUGACGCUCAGGUGCGAAAGCGUGGGGAGCAAACAGG